rnacentral:rRNA from 1 species
UGCUUUUUGACUAUAUAAUAUAAAAAGUAAGGUCUGCCCAAUGAUUAUUUGAAUGGCCGCGGUAUUUUGACUGUGCAAAGGUAGCAUAAUCAAUUGUCCUUUAAUUGGGGUCUGGAAUGAAUGAUUUAAUGAGAAGUUAACUGUUUUUUUUCGAUUAAUGAAUUUUUAUGGUAGGUGAAGAUACUUAUAUAAUUUUAAAAGACGAGAAGACCCUAUAAAGUUUUAUAUUUUUAGAAGAUAUAUUUAUCAUUGACGGAAUAUUAAAUUGGGGCAAUUGUGGAAUAUGAAAAACUUCUUAUAUUUAAGAUGUUAGUGAGCAUAUUUAUUAAUGAUCCAAAUUUUUGAUUGAUAGAAAAAAUUACUUUAGGGAUAACAGCGUAAUUUGUUUUUAGAGUUCUUAUCGAUGAACAAGAUUGCGACCUCGAUGUUGGAUUAAGAUACCUUAAUUAGUGCAGGGGCUAUUAGGGGUAAUCUGU